UCGAAUUUACGUGUCACGCAUCACGAGUACCCUCUAGCCGUUUGUUUCAAGUUAUUCAGUCUCCGUUUCAACUCGUACGAGCACGCGACUCUUCCAACUGUGCACGAUUCAAUCACCGGCGGAGAUAAUCGAGAUUCGAUGAAACAUGGAAAUUAUUAACACUUUAUACGCAGCCGAUAGAGAAUAUCCCGUGUUUACAUUCGCAACGCUUAACUGUGGCCAAGGGGAAUAUUCCGACAACUUCGUACAUUAUGUGAAGCUGUGACUAUUACAGUCGAGAUCUAUAAAGGAUAAGUUGCGACAAUUGUCAGAUCAGACAGUUAAAGUUCAGAGUUCAGAUUGAUCGACAGAGUUCUCUUUUAGAGAAAGAGAAUAAGAAUGUAUUUUUGUAUCAGUUAUUAAAUACAAUAAUUAUUAUUUCAUUCGACCUGAGAUUGAAUGAGAGUGAAAAUGAGGAAGCUAUGUAAAUCAAUUUCAUUUUGUAGCCGACAGGCAAAAAUUAAUGAAAAAGAUAUAUAUACAUUAUUUCAUUUGACAUUCUAAAAACCGAAACCCAACCCAAUUGUCUGCAACUCGACGUUCCUACGAAACGUUGUUAACAGAGGUAUUGUUGAAUAACAUAUGAUCGAUCGAAGUUGCCAAUUUUUAUCUACAUUGCAUUGAAAGAGAGAACUACGUGUCGGGAUCUAAUUCCGAAAGGAUAGUGAAUCGGUUUUCCCGAGUUAGAAACUUGUCCGACGUUCCAUGUUGCAUGGCGCCACACCUAACGGUGUUCUUUAUAAAACAUCGUGCUUGAACUUUCGAUUGUCAUUGAUCUUAAUCUCUCGUAUAUUGCAUUGUAUUAACACUUCAAUGUGGCGUUACCAUAAGAUCAUUAUCAGCUGAAAUCUUUGUACGAUCAGAUAUUAGUGCUACAUACUUGCAUAAUUGCUACGAAUAUUUAAAGAUCUAUUCUUCCUUUCUUUGAAAACAUUACUUUGUUCAAGAUACAUAUCAAAUAAUCUAUGGUAGGAAAUGAACAUUGGAAAGUAUUUAUUUGAAAAUACAUACGGAUAUCAUUAAUGAGCCUCCAUUAAAGAGUUUCAGAAACCGAGCACAUAAAAACGAGAAGCGCGUUCAACGAGCAUAUAAAUCGAGGCUGCGAUCGAAAAAUACACAAACCAAUUUAAAAAGAUCAACGUCGAAACGAUUCGAUGGUGUUGUUGUUUUUUUUACGGUUUUGUUUCCAACUGAAAAUACACAUCUCCUCGGGGCAAGGUGAAAAGGCAAAUUGAUUCGUUCGAUAGUACGUUACGAAUAUAUGUAUAUUCAAGCGAGUGGCGUACACGUUGUCGAUACACCUUCCUCCCAAUAAAAACAUUAACGGCGAAUUAACGAUCCAACAGGGGAAAAUACGUGCGAAUUUAACAAGCUGCACGGCCAAAUGGAUCGCAAAUACGUCGAAUGUCCUGUUUACCGAGCGUAUUUUUUAAGCUUUUCGCUCGAAAAUCGAACAUCCUUAUUGGAUUCUCCGCGGAUAAAUCGUUCAUUCUUUAAAAGGAAUCGAGCGAAACCUGAUUAAACCAUCUGAAUUUCCACAUCCUAUUGUCACACUGAAAUAAAUAUAUUGAAUAUUCAACAAACAGAAUGUAAAUGCGAUUGAAUCGCGUGGAUGUCUGAAACGAUGUUUUGCAGUAUAUGGCAUUGGAAAUGUUCCACGUGUUCAACGAAACUUAAAUCAGACGCAUAAAUAGAUUCUUACGUCAAGAGGGAAUAAUUUAUCAUAUAUGGAGCUUAACGGAUGCUCUUUUUAGGUUUCUGAAUUGAUAAAGUCUUUGGUCUUCGUGUUUUAAUUCAUGGAUGGAUAAUUACAAAAAGACUCCAAAUUAAAGAUAUCGUUAUAAUGAAGGAUUGGAACAAAAAGGAAUUUAAGAUCAAAAAUAAUUAAAGGAUCAAUAUAUCUUUCGUAAUGUUAAUUAACAACUGCUAUUAUUCUAUCAUAGAUGACUAUAUAACAACAAUUUGUGCUAGAUAUGGAUUAGGCUAAUUAUUGUAACUUAUAAUUCUAUGCAAUUUAUUAUAACAUUUAUUCUAAGCUUAUUUAUUAUAUUUUUUAACAGAUUUCAAUCUUCAGAAGUAAAUUUGAUACCAAAGAUGGAGCGGGUAGCAUCAGCCAUUAUCCCUUAAGAAAAGAACGAUUUCCUAGUACAUCGAAGGCUUUGGUAUCCUGAUUUUUCAAGCGGAUGAGAUUGGUCGAUCUCUUAUUUCCAAUUACUCCUGACAAUAAUUCGCUAACAGCUAGCAAACCGGUCUCUAUCGAUCGGACAGCGAUUCAACGCGUAAAACGCAACGAAACGCGCGUUUCAAUCGCCGCCACCGGGCCGAUUAGGACGCAAGCAUGAUUAGCGUCAUAAACUUUUCACAGGGCCGCGUUUAAUUCCAACGAGCGGAAACGGUUCACCGGAAUGGGAAUCGGAAUUGACGCGCCGAUAGAUUCGAUGCCGCGGUUUACGUGUAACCGAUUAAACUACGCCGAGCGCCGACUCAUCUGCUUCGAAAACCGGAUAUGUCUCUACGAAGAGAGAAUUCCGCUGUCGUUGCAGCCGGAAUUGAACCUGGAAUCCCCUCCUGGUGGACUGUUGCAGCUUUACACAUCCGCUAGUUUUUCCACAUUUUCAACUUUGCAGAUGAUCAAUUUUCAGUUGGACUUCAACUUCAGCCGUUUUCAUAAGUAUCAUGAUGAAAACGAUGUUAUUCAAAUAAAAAGAAGAAGAAAAGAACUCGAAACGUAUUUCAGCAUUUGAUUACUCUGUCUUAUGUAAAAGAAGUACAACAGAGUUCGAAUAGGCGCUUAAUCGACUAGACGAAUUUGUGACAUGAAGUAACUGCCACUGACACUAACUAAGUACCAAGAACGUAGGUUUUGGUUAUAUACCUACAUAAUAGAGCAUUUAACGAGGGCGCAGGUUGACCUCAGCUCUUAGUUACUAGAUGAGUAAGUCAAACUUCGCGCGAGAUUGAACUCAGAAAUAGAGAGUGCAGGUACUUACUGGACGAUGAAUAAUACCUUUGGAAAAUCACCACUGUGGUAUGGCUAAAGAAUUCCAAGACGAUUGCAGAUCCAUUGAUGCGACAACGCUCGAAUAUUUCCACGUGCACAACAGUUCAUUGAGCGAUGAACAAGCAGCCGUAAUGAAAGAUAAAAGGAACAAAGCUAGAUGCGACUGCGGCCUUGCAUUAACGAAUAUGUGUAGAACCGAUUGAAUUUAAUUACCAAGCGAGAAAACGCCAGCAUUGUGUGCAUGAAAUCAUUGAGACGAGCCUGUGCGCGAUUAACUAACGAAAAAUAUCCCUUUCUACGGUACAACGAAUUAUUCGAGAGAAAGUAAAGUGUUAGAAUGAUCUGUAUGAGCUUUAAAUUCAUCGUAUUUCUAUACGUAUACAUAAAUUCAUAAGUUAGUCGGUUAAAUAUAAUAUUACGUAUAAAAUGUAAGUGAAAUGAAAUAUGGGGAAUAUAA